AUGCACGCUGGCGGCGUGCCUAAUACAUGCAAGUCGAGCGAACAGACGAGGAGCUUGCUCCUCUGACGUUAGCGGCGGACGGGUGAGUAACACGUGGAUAACCUACCUAUAAGACUGGGAUAACUUCGGGAAACCGGAGCUAAUACCGGAUAAUAUAUUGAACCGCAUGGUUCAAUAGUGAAAGACGGUUUUGCUGUCACUUAUAGAUGGAUCCGCGCCGCAUUAGCUAGUUGGUAAGGUAACGGCUUACCAAGGCGACGAUGCGUAGCCGACCUGAGAGGGUGAUCGGCCACACUGGAACUGAGACACGGUCCAGACUCCUACGGGAGGCAGCAGUAGGGAAUCGUCCGCAAUGGGCGAAAGCCUGACGGAGCAACGCCGCGUGAGUGAUGAAGGUCUUCGGAUCGUAAAACUCUGUUAUUAGGGAAGAACAAAUGUGUAAGUAACUAUGCACGUCUUGACGGUACCUAAUCAGAAAGCCACGGCUAACUACGUG
rnacentral:rRNA from 1 species